rnacentral:rRNA from 1 species
GACGAACGCUGGCGGCGUGCUUAACACAUGCAAGUCGAACGGAAAGGCCCUGCUUUUGUGGGGUGCUCGAGUGGCGAACGGGUGAGUAACACGUGAGUAACCUGCCCUUGACUUUGGGAUAACUUCAGGAAACUGGGGCUAAUACCGGAUAGGAGCUCCUGCUGCAUGGUGGGGGUUGGAAAGUUUCGGCGGUUGGGGAUGGACUCGCGGCUUAUCGGCUUGUUGGUGGGGUAGUGGCUUACCAAGGCUUUGACGGGUAGCCGGCCUGAGAGGGUGACCGGCCACAUUGGGACUGCGAUACGGCCCAGACUCCUACGGGAGGCAGCAGUGGGGAGUAUUGCACAAUGGGCGGAAGCCUGAUGCAGCAACGCCGCGUGCGGGAUGACGGCCUUCGGGUUGUAAACCGCUUUCGCCUGUGACGAAGCGUGAGUGACGGUAAUGGGUAAAGAAGCACCGGCUAACUACGUG